rnacentral:lncRNA from 13 species
AUGCAAAACAGAGGGAGGACAAGGGAGAGAGUGAGAGGGAGUGUUUUUGAGUGUGUCCAUGCGUACGGAGGGAGGACUGAAGGCAGCUGUUUCCAGCAGAGCAGAGACCUACAACAUGUGAGAAGAUGUCUGUUGGAGGCUGCGCUUGCCCGGGUAAGUCCACCCAUCUCUAUCUCCCUCUCAUGUGACCUCUCGUGUCUUUGCUGCUGUAAAGGUUUGAUGGUAUCCACAUAUUUGUUUAGAAUGUACUGUUAAAAAAAAGUCCAACUGGUUUACAGUGUUUUUUUCCUGACUCAAUAUUCAGGGUACUUUAUACUGUAUCUCAAGGAGACUGCACAACAACUUACUAGCUAUUGCUAACUCACAUCUGCACACAUAUGUGGCUUUCCCCCAUGUUGAAUGAGGUAAAGAUUGUAAACAACUUGGGAGCAAUGUUUUCUUGCUGGGACAAGUUUAGGCCAGUGAAGCGCUCCUGCGCCCACAGAACAAUCAUGUUCCUUAUGGAGGGAGGUGGGGGUGGGUCGAGGAGGAGAGACUGAGGGAAAGAAAGUGAGAGAGAGAGAAAGAAAGUGAUUAAGAGGGGACACACAGUAACUCAGUGGUCCUGUUUGAAAGCUAGUUUGUUUACAUUCCUG